GACGCCUCCCUCCGCGCAUUGGACGCUUUGCCACCCGCCCGCCUUCCAGCCACUGCAGGUGCCAAGAUCGGCCAGUUUCGGAGAGAGCCAGGGCACUGAGCGGCGAACCGGAGGGACCCCCUGGAUGCAAUCCAGCUCAACUGUGGCUGAGAAAACAUACCCUGUACUUCCCAGAGCUGUUAAUCUGCUCAACUCUUAGGCAGAUACUGUAAGUUGUGGUUAUGUUGGGAAAUUCAGGACCCUAUUUCCAAGGAGAGUUGUGCGGAACGUGUGUAUGUUUGUUAUUUUCAAAAUCAAGCAAACGAAA